AUGUAAAUUUUUGUGUGAAUAGUUAAAUUAUUUAAUAUAAUUUAAUUUAUUUUUAGUCGCAGUAAUUAGAAUUAUAAUUUUAAAGAAAUUUAGAAUUAGAAAUAUUAAAUAGUAUUAGCUAAAUUUGUGCCAGCAGCUGCGGGUUAUACUAAUGAUGCAAGUAAAUUUUAUUAGUUUAAGUUAAAUUUUAUUUAUAAUAUUAUAUUUAAAUUUAUUAGGUGAAAUUUUAAAUUUAAUUAUUAUUUUUGUUUAUUAUUGAAGCUUAGAAAUUUUAGAUUAAACUAGGAUUAGAUACCCUAUAUUUAAAAUGUAUUGGUGGCUGAGUAGUAUUAGUUAUGUUCUUGAAACUUAAAAAAUUUGGCGGUAUUUUAGUCUAAUCAGAGGAACCUGUUCCAUAAUCGAUAAUCCACGAUGGACCUUACUUAAAUUUGUUUAGUUUAUAUACCGUCGUUAUGAAAAACUUUUUUAGAAUAAUAGUUUUUAAUAAUUUUUAUUAAAAUUUAUAUCAGAUCAAGGUGUAGCUUAUGUUUAAGUGGUAAUGGGUUACAAUAAAAUUAUUUAUAUGGAUUUUUAUUGAAAAUGAAAAUGAAGGUGGAUUUGACAGUAAAAUUUAUAGAUUAAAAUUUUGAAAUUAGCUCUAAAAUAUGUACAUAUCGCCCGUCACUCUUAUUAUUAAGAUAAGAUAAGUCGUAACAUAGUAGAUGUA
rnacentral:rRNA from 1 species